UACGGAGGGUGCAAACGUUGCUCGGAAUCAUUGGGCGUAAAGCGCACGUAGGCGGCCUGUUAAGUCGGGGGUGAAAUCCCUGGGCUCAACCCAGGAAGUGCACUCGAAACUGGCGGGCUUGAAUAUGGAAGAGGGUCGCGGAAUUCCCGGUGUAGAGGUGAAAUUCGUAGAUAUCGGGAGGAACACCAGUGGCGAAGGCGGCGACCUGGGCCAAUAUUGACGCUGAGGUGCGAAAGCGUGGGGAGCAAACAGG
rnacentral:rRNA from 1 species